UACACCACACCACCCCAAUCCCCAAUACAAUCCAACACCUACAUAUAUUCCAGCUCGUUCCUUAUCCUUCAAAGAAUUCGAAUUUCGAAUUUGAACCCCCAAUUUCGACCUGAUUUUUAAUUUCCCUAUAAAUUCUUCCGUCAUCUUCACUGUUGGUAGGAUUGAGAGAGACGACUUUGGACCCUCAAGGAACACACCAUUUCAUCCUCUAAUAUACGAGUUCUAAAAUUAAACACCCCAAAUAGCUUAGCUAAAUCUACUUUAGAAAUUCAAAGGUUUAAUGGUUUUCGAUUUCGAAUUCCAAAGGUUCUACGGAAUCAAGCUCGUGUUGUGGAAAUUGCUUCGUAGUCAAGUUUGUCAUCCCGGAAUGCUGCUCCUUAAAAUGUCGCUUGCUGGUUUGGUUUAUAUCUGUCUUUAAUGAUGUCGUUUCAGCCAUAAAUGUAAAAGGAAUACUAGUAUAGUUUGGUUGUCAUAUUGGUCUGAAUAUGUGUUUUAAUGGUCGGUGUUUGACUAAUAAGAGGUUUGCAUUUGGUAGAUUGGUCAAGUUCUCUGUAUGUAUGAGCUAAAAUUCUUUGUGAUUUCCAUUUAUGUAUAUCAUCCUCAACUUGUGUUAUCUGCAUAUUCUGGCUUAGUUAAAUGUGUUGGUUAAAGAA